ACGCACUGGGCGGGGUUUCGCCGUUCCGAGGAAGUCGGGGAAGGGGGUCACUGCCAGAUGGAGGUUCCGGUUCCGGUGCAGUGGCUGGCUGGUUGCGUUGCUACGGCAGCGCGGUUGGUAGGUGCCUGGUUCUUGCCGUAAGGGUGGUAGCGGCGCUGGAGUAGGUCUGGGUCUAGGAGAGCGGCCCGGAGCGUCUGUAAUGCCGCAGCCGUUCGCGGCGGGAGCGUGGACCAAGCCGGGCUCUGGCGGCCAGGCCUGCCGAGGGCUACCGCGUCCGACCUGGCCCUGUGUCUCGGAGCCUCUCGCGGUCCCGCCGCCCAUGUGAGAGCAGAGGCCUGGUUUCCGCCCAUGGGCCGCGAUUACUUCACUAAAACAGCUUUUAUUUUAAAAUACUGUAAAGCGCUCUCGUCUGUGUGAUCGGGGCUUCGCUGACUUUCCGGCCUACUUAAGCCCCUGGGCCUAGGCCCAGGAAGGGUUUGUUGAACGGGGAGCUAAGAAGGGAAUUGGCUCGUUCGAUAAACGUUUUCUGCGCAGCUGUGGCGUGCAAGGCACGGGGCCGGUGCGGGACCUCCAGAGAGACCUGUGCCCAAAGCUUGAGGAAUGAGAAGCAGAUUCCUGGAUUCCAGGUAAAUCAGAGGAACAAACCUGAACAGAAAUAUACAGGAAGUGAUGUGAUGCUGAAGCUUAACGCUUAUUUCAGAAGUCUGGUAUCUGGUGCUCUUAACAGCAGAAACUAUAUUAUUUGCAAAAUCACCACGCUUUUACUUGUAUUAUAUAGUAAUUUUUAAAAAAAUAAAUACUGACAAUUUGUUCUUGAAA